AGAGUUUGAUCAUGGCUCAGAUUGAACGCUGGCGGUAUGCUUAACACAUGCAAGUCGAACGGUAACAGUCCCUCACCUAGAAAUUUCUUAAAAAGAGAUUUGUAGGUGAGGGAGCUGACGAGUGGCGGACGGGUGCGUAAUGUAUAGGAAUCUGCCUGGUAGUGGGGGACAACUCGGAGAAAUUCGAGCUAAUACCGCAUAAGCCCUCCGGGGGAAAACGGGGGAUCUUCGGACCUCGUGCUAUUAGAUGAGCCUAUAUUAGAUUAGCUUGUCGGUGAGGUAAUGGCUUACCAAGGCGACGAUCUAUAGCUGGUCUGAGAGGAUGAUCAGCCACACUGGGACUGAGACACGGCCCAGACUCCUACGGGAGGCAGCAGUGGGGAAUAUUGGACAAUGGGCGAAAGCCUGAUCCAGCAAUACCGCGUGUGUGAAGAAGGCCUGAGGGUUGUAAAGCACUUUCAAUUGGGAGGAAUACCUAAUAGUUAAUAGCUAUUAGAUUGACA
rnacentral:rRNA from 1 species